UAGUGACGAAAAAUAACGAUACCGGACUCAUCCGAGGCCCGGUAAUCGGAAUGAGUACACUUUAAAUCCUUUAACGAGGAACAAUUGGAGGGCAAGUCUAGUGCCAGCAGCCGCGGUAAUUCCAGCUCCAAUAGCGUAUAUUAAAGUUGCUGCGGUUAAAAAGCUCGUAGUUGGAUCUCGGCGGGUAGGGGGCGGUUCAAUAUUUGUCGCUACUGCCCCAUUUACUCGUGUUUGUGACGGAGGUUGCAGGGUGCUCUUAAUCGAGUGUCCAGGGAUGCCGUCAGGUUUACUUUGAAAAAAUUAGAGUGCUCAAAGCAGGCUUUACACGCUUGAAUAUUCGUGCAUGGAAUAAUAGAAUAGGACGUCGUUUCUAUUUUGUUGGUUUUAGGAAAUCGACGUAAUGAUUAAUAGGGACAGUCGGGGGCAUUAGUAUUCAUACGACAGAGGUGAAAUUCUUGGACCGUCUGAAGACUAACUACUGCGAAAGCAUUUGCCAAGAAUGUUUUCAUUAAUCAAGAACGAAAGUUAGAGGUUCGAAGGCGAUCAGAUACCGCCCUAGUUCUAACCAUAAACGAUGCCAGCUAGCGAUCCGUAGGCGUUUUUUAUCUAGGCUCUACGGGAAGCUUCCGGGAAACCAAAGCUUUUGGGUUCCGGGGGAAGUAUGGUUGCAAAGCUGAAACUUAAAGGAAUUGACGGAAGGGCACCACCAGGAGUGGAGCCUGCGGCUUAAUUUGACUCAACACGGGAAAUCUCACCAGGCCCGGACACUGGAAGGAUUGACAGAUUGAGAGCUCUUUCUCGAUUCCGUGGGUGGUGGUGCAUGGCCG
rnacentral:rRNA from 1 species